rnacentral:rRNA from 1 species
UGAGUGCGAGCUUCUACGGAAGCGAAGUUGGUGACGUCAAGCUUCCAAGAAAAGCCCUAUACCCGUUAAGGCAUGAUUACCUGUACCCGAAACCGACACAGGUGGGGUGGUAGAGAAUACCGAGGGGCGCGAGGUAACUCUCUCUAAGGAACUCGGCAAAAUGACCCCGUAACUUCGGGAGAAGGGGUGCCAGCGCGAGCUGGUCGCAGUGAAUAGGCCCAGGCGACUGUUUACCAAAAACACAGGUCUCCGCUAAGUCGCAAGACGAUGUAUGGGGGCUGACGCCUGCCCAGUGCCGGAAGGUUAAAGAAGUUGGUCAGCGCAAGCGAAGCUAACGACUGAAGCCCCGGUGAACGGCGGCCGUAACGAUAACGGUCCUAAGGUAGCGAAAUUCCUUGUCGGGUAAGUUCCGACCCGCACGAAAGGCGUAACGAUCUGGGCGCUGUCUCGGAGAGAGGCUCGGCGAAAUAGAAUUGUCUGUGAAGAUGCGGACUACGUGCACCCGGACAGAAAGACCCUAUGAAGCUUUACUGUAGCUUGGUAUUGUGCUCGGGCUCGCAAUGCGCAGGAUAGGUGGGAGGCUUUGAUCCAUUGCUUGUGGGUGAUGGUGAGCCACUGGUGAGAUACCACUCUUUGCGAGCUAGGGUUCUAACGGUUACCCGUCAUCCGGGAACCGGACAGUAUCUGGUGGGCAGUUUGACUGGGGCGGUCGCCUCCUAAAAGGUAACGGAGGCGCGCAAAGGUUUGCUCAGGCUGGUUGGAAAUCAGCCGACGAGUGUAAAAGCAGAAGCAAGCUUGACUGUGAGACCUACAAGUCGAGCAGGGAGGAAACUCGGCUUUAGUGAUCCGACGGUUCUGAGUGGAAGGGCCGUCGCUCAACGGAUAAAAGUUACUCUAAGGAUAACAGGCUGAUCUCCCCCAAGAGUUCACAUCGACGGGGAGGUUUGGCACCUCGAUGUCGGCUCAUCGCAACCUGGGGCUGAAGUCGGUCCAAGGGUUGGGCUGUUCGCCCAUUAAAGCGGUACGCGAGCUGGGUUCAGAACGUCGUGAGACAAUUCGGUCCAUAUCCGGUGCAUGCGCAGGAAUAUUGAGAGGAUUUCUCCCUAGUACGAGAGGACCGGGAGGAACGCACCUCUGGUGUACCAGUUAUCGUGCCAACGGUAAACGCUGGGUAGCCAUGUGCGGAGUGGAUAACCGCUGAAAGCAUCUAAGUGGGAAGCCCACCUCAAGAUGAGUAUUCCCAUGGCUUAAGCCAGUAAGGUCACGGGAAGAACACCCGUUGAUAGGCUCUAUGUGGAAGCGCAGUAAUGCGUGAAGCAGAGGAGUACUAAUAGACCGAGGGCUUG